GAUGAACGCUGGCGGCGUGCUUAACACAUGCAAGUCGAACGGACUUUACAUGAAGCCUAGCGAUUGUAAAGUUAGUGGCGGACGGGUGAGUAACGCGUGAAUAACCUGCCUUAUACUGGGGGACAACAGUUGGAAACGACUGCUAAUACCGCAUAAGCGCACGGAGCUGCAUGGCUCAGUGUGAAAAACUCCGGUGGUAUAAGAUGGACCCGCGUCUGAUUAGCUAGUUGGUAAGGUAACGGCUUACCAAGGCGACGAUCAGUAGCCGGCCUGAGAGGGUGAACGGCCACAUUGGGACUGAGACACGGCCCAAACUCCUACGGGAGGCAGCAGUGGGGAAUAUUGGGCAAUGGGGGAAACCCUGACCCAGCAACGCCGCGUGAAGGAAGAAGGCCUUCGGGUUGUAAACUUCUUUUAGCAGGGACGAAUACGUGACGGUACCUGCAGAAAAAGCAACGGCUAACUACGUG
rnacentral:rRNA from 1 species